GAUGAACGCUGGCGGCGUGCCUAAUACAUGCAAGUCGAGCGAACGGACGAGAAGCUUGCUUCUCUGAUGUUAGCGGCGGACGGGUGAGUAACACGUGGAUAACCUACCUAUAAGACUGGGAUAACUUCGGGAAACCGGAGCUAAUACCGGAUGAUAUUUUGAACCGCAUGGUUCAAAAGUGAAAGACGGUCUUGCUGUCACUUAUAGAUGGAUCCGCGCUGCAUUAGCUAGUUGGUAAGGUAACGGCUUACCAAGGCAACGAUGCAUAGCCGACCUGAGAGGGUGAUCGGGCACCCUGGAACUGAGACACGGUCCAGACUCCUACGGGAGGCAGCAGUAGGGAAUCUUCCGCAAUGGGCGAAAGCCUGACGGAGCAACGCCGCGUGAGUGAUGAAGGUCUUCGGAUCGUAAAACUCUGUUAUUAGGGAAGAACAUAUGUGUAAGUAACUGUGCACAUCUUGACGGUACCUAAUCAGAAAGCCACGGCUAACUACGUG
rnacentral:rRNA from 1 species